UCUUAUGAUCUUUGUUUUUCUCCUUUUUCAUCUUCCAAGUCCGUUACUUUGCUUUCUCCACUUUCUCCACAUCAAUCUCUUUCUAACUAUUCUUUACUCAAAGGGGAGAGUUCCAGAGAACAAUUAAUUUGUAGAGAAAAAAGGGGAGCAGUUCUGCGACCGAGGUUUCUUCUUUUUAUUUUUUAUUGAUUUGUUCUUAUUCUAUGUCAUUGCAUUGAUAUGUUCUUUUAUCUCUUCUUUUGCUUUUAUACUUCUUCUUCCAUUAAGAACUCCAAUUUGCUGCGUGAAAGAGGAGAAAUUUUAAGGACUUUGUUCACAGGUAUUAUUUCGUAUUUUUUUUGGGUAUUUCUAACUUUUUCUCUCUUUCAUCUAAGCAUUCUUUUUUUCCUUCUAUUUUUUCUGCUUAAAGUAAUUUUUACUUUAAUCUUGAAAAGUGAAAACUAAAAACAUGUGCUUAGUUUUCAGGUUGUUCCGAUAAUUUAUAUGAAAAAAGAACGAAGGAAAAGAAAACAACUUAAUGUAGCUUGUUGUACAGAGUAUGUUUUUUUUCCUCUCUUUGGGUUCCGUUGGUUUCCUCUUAUUUUUGCAAAUUCUUGUGUAGUCAGUGCCUCUUUCAUUGGCAUGAAUCUGUAGUAAGUAUGAGUCGGAUGAAUCUUAUACGAGAAAUGCAUAUUGUAGAGCUCGUGUCUCAAUAGGUGUUACAUCCUUCCGUAUACUUCCAUCGUAUCUUAUUGAGAGGAUUCAUAUCCGGUAGGUCUGCAAGAAACACAUCCGGAAACUCCCUCAUUACUGGAACUGACUAGAGAGUAGGAGUAUCAACACUAACAUCUCUGGCGAAGGCUAGAUACACUAAACAUUUUUUUCCAACCAUCCGUUGAGCCUUCAAGAAUUAGAUAACUCUGCUAGGAGUGCAACAUAGAGAACCAUUCCACUCCAUCUUCGGCAACCCUGACAUAACCUAUGUCACGGUCUUAACAUGACAAUUAAGAAUAACAUUGUAUGGAGGCAGCCAAUACAUACCCAAGAUCACAUUAAAAUCCACCAUAUCCAAUAAUAGAAAGUCCACUCUCAUCUCAAAACCACAUAUGGUGAUUGUUGUACCCUAUUUUGCACUAGACAAAAUAAGAUUCAACUUGUGGUUUCUCUGUUGUUGAUAAAAGAGAGUCGCCACCUUAUAUUUAAAGGUAUACUAGGGUACCUAUUAAAUUAUUAAUUUAUAUUUAGUAUUGGUCUGCUAACCGGUGAGAUUAUGGGUAAGGGUUCUUGUUCUUCUAAGGGGAGGUGUUAGGGACCCCUUAAAAUCUACCUAAGGUAGCUCCAUAUGACUUAGACUAAUUUUAAGAGGUAUGCUAUUUGUACUAUGCUUAUGAUGUUUUAUACUUCAAUACCACACAAGAGGGGGGAGGGAGUGAUUUGUGUGGUACCCAAUUUUCGCUUAACUGAAUUAUAGAAGGACCUGGUUCUUCUAUGUGUUCCAACUCCUACUGUUUGUGGAAUAAUAAGUAAAGAAAAUAAAGAACACAGAGAUUUUUACGUGGAAAACACCUGGCUCAAAAGGUGAAAAAAUCACGACCUACUUCUCAGUAGAAUUUUUCCAAACUUUCACUAAAAUCACUAAGCCAAAAACUGCAUUUACAAAAACUCUUUGUAAACCUAGGAUUAACUCUAAUACUGUUAUGGCACAUAGCCUCAACUGCUGCGACAACUUUAAGUUAACUCUAACUUGAACACUCUAGGUACCUAAUACAAUUGCUUUUAUAAAAGCUGAAAAGUACAAUGUAAAAUUACCUACUACGAUUAAAUUAGAAUAAAAGAUAAACACUUGGAACUGGUUCUUCUAUCUCGUUCAAUUAGCUUCAGGAUUGCACACUUGAAUCACACAUAAAUUGCUUGCAAAAUCGCCUUGCUCGUUUGCUCUCAAUUUAAGUUUAACUUCUUCUUAUGUGCAUUACCUGUAAAAGAGAACAACACUGAUAUUUAAUGGGUUAAUAAUUAGAGAUUGACUGGGAUUCAGAUACUACUCUUCUAUUGUAGAAGAGUUCUAGUUGAUCUUAUACUCUAACACUAUCUUCUUCCUAAACUGUGUUCUCUUCAGGUAAGGACUCUUUCUCUCCUUAUCCAAUAUGCAACCUUUUCGAUGAGAUCUGGAGAUAUUAUUUCUGAUAAGUUAGAUUUAUCUCUUUCACGUGCAUCUCACAUGUUUGGGUUGAUCAUGAUUGUGCUUCACAAGAUGGACUUGGUCCAUAUCUGAGUUCUUUUGUCAGUCUUCAAAACUUCACCUGUACUUGGGCCAAAAAAUUCCCCAUUUUUGAUGAUGACAAACUCUGUGCUUUUUACUUACUUGGAUCAUGUAAGAACUCAGCUUAACCAUCAAUACAAAAUUUAGAAAAUUCACUUAUCAUCAAGGACCAAGUUAAUUAGGUUAUAAAUAUCACUUAUUUAGAAUAUGUAAAGCACAAUAUUUCUUCCCCCUUUUGGAAUCAUCGAAAAGUUGCAUACAAAGUGUGAGUCCCAGAUUUUAAUAAGUACUCAUGGCCACUGGGGCAACUGCAAGUGCACUCAUGGAUUAAUCAUCAAUAAUCGAGCAAACAUAUUUAAACUAUCAAGGAAAGAUUAACAUUGAAUAAGAGCAAAAACAGUAGAUAUCAUUGAUAGAAGGUAUGUUGCUACCACAAUCCACAACCAUAAAGCAAAAACAUUCAAAACAUGAGCAAAAAGAAAGAAAAACCCCUAAUCCGGGUCAUUGAAGGCACUAGACAGGUUCGGGAGAUAGAGGCUAGAAUUAUAUUCCUAAGGCUUGGGAGAGCUAGAGGGUUGGUUUUGGGCUUGGAGAAUGGUCAGCAUAUUCUGAAGAACCCCAUCAUUCUUCUUCUUUUCCUUAGUGAGCUCAGUUCUGAGAGCAUCCCUCUCAGAUUCAACCUCAGCUAAGCGAGCCUUCAGCCUAGCUAUCUCUGCAUCUUUUGCUCCACUCUCCUGCACCAGGGCUCUGACUUUGCUGUUUAUAGGUGUCUUCUUGGAUGAACCAAGUUCAUUGGGAAUGGCAGUGAUCUCAUAAUCACAGUCAAUCAAAGUGUUGAUUCCAAAGUGAUCUUUGGUUGAGGCCAUUCCCACUUCUUCAGUGGCACCUUGCAGCGAUCAAGAACAAUAGUCAAAAAUAACCCAUAAGGAGUGGCAUAGGCCUUGGAGCCAUUGAUAUCCCUAUCUAGCAGCUUGAUAAUGAAUGCAGGCCAGUUGAUCUGCCUUGUUCUUUCAAGACACUCAAUCAACACCAAGUCCAUGUAGUUAGCAGUGUGCCUCCUUUCCUAUCGAGGCAUCAAACACUUGUUGACAAAUUCAAAUAAGACUUUGUGCUGUGGCCUUAUUUCACUCUUCUGAACAGGCCUAGCCUCAUUCACAUCUGUAGUAUCAUAGAACCUCCUGGUAAUUUCAAGGGCAGUAGGAAAGGAGUCCAGACAUGGCCACCUUUGCCUUGUAUAGUCAUCAAACCCUUCAGAGGGUAUGUCAAGGAUCUCGCCUAGCUUCUUUCCAUCAAAGGUCACGUGAACCCCUUUCACCAGGAUGCUAACUCUGCCAUCCUUAACCUCUGCAUUUGCCAUGAACUCAAUAAUCUCAUUCCUAGCUAGCCUUCAAUCCAUCUGAAGGACCAUGCCAGGUGUUUCAACAAUCUACCUUUCAAAAUUUUUCUCUUACCAAACUUGGUCAGCUUGUCUUGUUCACCAUUAGACUCACUUUCUUCUUCACCACUCUAUUCCUCCUCUUCAGAAACUCUAACUUGUUUACUUUUCACUGUAGACCUUGUCCUCUUGGCCAAUGAGGGUUCAGCAGCCUCAAACACAGAGGAAGACUUCUUGGAAGAAGUCUUGGGCUUUUUCGGCUCGGGGGUCUGAACCUUUACUAUUGUAACUUCCUCCUGAUGGACCUGUUCCAUCUCCUCAAUAUCAACAACUUCUGAGGACUCUGAAAACUUACCCUUUCCUUUAGAAAUUAUUUUCUUCUUACUUUCAGCCAGAGCCUUUUGUAGAUCACUCUCACUCUAUUUCACCCUACUUCUUGUGGCUUUUCCCUUUGGCAAGGAAGUUUCAGUAGUUGUUGGAGAUGAUGCCUUUCUUUUCUUGGAGGGUUUAGGAGCACUGGGGCUUUUGGUGUGGGAGUUCUCCUUUUCUUUGGAUCGUAACUUGCCCCUACCCUUUUCAACAGGUCUGCUAGGUUCUCUUCAGUUGAUGAACCAGGUUCAUCUCCCUGUGCACUUAGGUUAACUAACCCUUCAACAGCUUCACCAGAACCACUUCCCCCUGACUUCUUGCCACUCUUUUCAAUAUUUUCAUGUUCAACCCCAAAAAUAGCAGAUACAAACAAAUCAGCAGUGGGUGAAUGAUCAACCACUCUUUUCCCUUUUCCCGUCUCGUCACCACAUUCACCCUCUCUCUCUUUUUCUUUUUCAGAUUUCUUUUUACCUCCACUCCGUCUUAACUCAGGUAAUUCCACAUCCCUGAUAGGCCCAACCAAAAUAAACCUAUUUUCUAAAUUCUCAGUCAAAGAAGAAUUUACCUUAGAGGGGGAUUCUUGAACCUUCUCAGAGUUAGAAGACCCAGGUCAUUCCCCCUUACUAGCAGAUUUGUACGACUCAUAAUCAGAGUUAGAAUUAGAGUCUUGAGUCUGACUUACCUUUAAUUGCUCAUUCAAUUUAAUUGAGAGAUCAUUAGAAGCUACUAUUUUUCGAGCAAGCAUUUUUACCCUUCUCAGCCUUGGUUUGGGAGUCGUGCUAGGUGGAGGAGAGGUAGAUGAAUUAAAGGAAGUGGGCUGUGGAGGAGUUCCAGGGUUGUCUUGUGGGUUUGUCAUUAUCGCUGAUUUCUUGAGAAAAUUAGUGAGUUAGAACUUUGGAGAAAAAAGCAAUUGAAAGUGAAGACGGGUUUUUGAUGGUUUAGAAUUAUGAAGAUGACAAGAGGUAAUGAUGUGUAUUUAAAGAGAAAUACACAUUUAAUGUAUAAUGGCAGCUUUAGCAGUGGUCAAUUAGAGGUCUAACCAACCUAAAAUUUCAGGUUUGAAUGAACGGUUAGGCUUCCCUAGAUUUUAGGCAAAUUUUGUGGUUAGAGUUCUAAAGCUGACAGAACUGGUUCAAAAACAAACAGAUAGAAUUUUCUAAGGAGUUGAACAAUUGUAGGACUUCUUCUCAUGAUUUAAAUAUUUAUAUUUCUAAUUGUGCAGAGUAUAGAAAAUAUACCUUAGCAAUCAGAUGAACCAAUACUGAUGGACCAGGUUCUUCAUUUAGAAUUCUCUUGACCAUGCCUCAAUUAACCAUAAUAGAGAAAAUUUUGCAAGAGAUCAGUGAGUCAUAUUAGCACAUGUCACAGGAGCAUACUAAUUGCAGUAUGAAGCUGAGUAAAAAUUAAUCUAGAUAUUUACACAGGUUCAGAUUUCCUAGCCAAAUCUUUUUUCAAUUUUUUUCAUUAUUUUUUUUCAUUGUGCAUUCUGAGCUGGUCCCAUUAGGUGAUCUUAAUCAUCCCUAAUUCUAACCUAUUCCUUUCAAAGUUUUCUCUACUCAGUGCUUUAGUAAAAAUGUCAGCAAUUUAUUUAUCAGUAGCACAUAAUUCUAUGGUGAUCAAUCCUUUCUCAUAGUUAUCUCUUAAGAAGUGGUGUCUAACAUCUAUGUGUUUAGUCCUCUUAUGGUGAACAAGGUUCUUUGUCAUACUUAUAGCACUAGUGUUAUCACAGAAGAUAGGAAUGCAACCAACUUCAAUGCCAAAAUCUAUCAGCUGCUGUUUGAUCGACAACAAUUGAGUAUAAUAAGAGGCAACAACAAUAUAUUCAGCCUCAACAGUGGACAAGGCCACUGAAUUAUGCUUUUUAGUGGCCCAUGAUACAAGACAUGAACCAAGAAAAUUAGCCAUACCUGAGGUGCUCUUCCUAUCCACAAGGAAACUUGCAUAGUCAGCAUCAACAUACCCUACUAGAUUGAAAUUACUAGCUUAGGGUACCAAAGACACAGAUCAGUAGUGCCUUUCAAAUAUCUCAGUAUCCUCUUGACAACAAUCAAGUGAGAUUCCUUUGGAUUAGCCUGAAAACGAGCACAAAGCCCUACACUGGAAACUAUGUCAGGUCUGCUGGCAGUAAGAUACAAAGUGAACCAAUCAUACCCUUAUACAACUUCUGAUCAACAGAUGAACCAGGUUCAUCUAUGUCUAAUUUAGUAGGUGUUGCAAUGGGAGUGUUCAUUUCCUUUGAUUCAUCCAUUUUAAACUUUUUGAUCAACUCUUUUGCAUAUUUCUGCUGAUGGAUCAUGGUUCCAUUUGGGCUUUGUUUGAUCUGUAAGCCUAAGGAAAAGUUAAGAUCACCCAUCAUACUCAUUUCAAACUCACUCCGCAUUAAUUUGGCAAAAUCUUUACUUAGUUUGUCAGUGGUUUCCCCAAAAAUUAUGUCAUCAACAUAUAUUUAUACCAAAAGAAGAUCUUUACCUUUUUCCCUCAGGAAUAGAGUACUGUCAAUUUUACCUCUUUUGUAGCCAUGUUCAAGCAGGAAUUUGGACAAUCGUUCAUACCAUGCUCUAGGAACCUGCUUGAGUCUAUAGAGAGCCUUGUCAAAUUUGUACACAAGUUCCGAACACUCCUUGCCCUCAAACCCUGGAGGUUGUUUAACAAACACUUCUUCUUUUAGGUAGCCAUUUAGGAAGGCACUUUUGACAUCCAUCUGAUAAAGAGUGAAUUCCAUGUGUGCUGCAAAAGGUAUGAGGAGUCUUAUUGCCUCUAGUCUUGCAACUUGAGCAAAAGUCUCAUCAUAAUCUAUACCCUUCUCUUGGCUAUAGCCUUGGACCACCAGUCGUGCCUUGUUUCUUGUAACUGUUCCAUCUUUAUCAAGCUUGUUUUUGAAGACCCAUUUAGUGCCAAUUACUAAUUUGUCCUUGGGUCUUGGAACUAGAUGCCAAACUUGACUUCUCUCAAACUGAUUGAGUUCAUAUUGCAUUGCAUUUACCCAGUCUGCAUCUGGAAAAGCCUCAAUAAUAUUUUUAGGUUCAAUAGGAGAUAGGAAAGCAUCAAAAGCAUACAUAUUCUUUAAUUGUGAUCUAGUUUUAACUCCAGAGUUUGGAUAAGUGAUUAUGUUCUCAAUGGGAUAAGACUUUGAUACUUGUGAGGUUUCACAACCAACUAAUUUCUUCUUGAUGUUUCUCCCAUGUUUUGUUGCUGAGGAACAUUGUUAUGAACAUGCUCCUUUAGGUGAUUGGUUUCAGUUCAUCUUUGUUGAGUUCCCCCUGUCAGGUUGCUCUGGAUGGAAGAACCUGUUCCAUCACCUGUUCCUUCUUUUGGUGCAACUUCAGCUUGAGCUGAGACUUCACUCAAAUCUUUUACCAGCCCAAUAGCUUCAUCUUCAUGCUCCUGUUUCUCAGAAAGAAUGUUAGUUUCAUCAAAAACUACAUGUAAACUUUCUUCUACACACAAAGUUCUUUUAUUGAAAACUUUAUAAGCUUUGCUAAUAUCCCAAGAAUACCCCCUCAUCACUUCUGGGAUCAAACUUACCUUGGGAGUCCUUUCCAUUAUUGUGCACAAAACACUUGCAUCCAAAUGCCCUAAGAUGCGAUAUAUUUGGUUUUCUCCCUUUAAGUAACUCAUAGGGAGUCUUCUCUACAAGAGGUCUAGUCAUGCAUCUAUUAAUGAUGUAACAUGCGGUAUUUACAGCCUCUGCCUAGAAGCUAUGAGGCAGUUUACUAGAAAAAAGCAUAGUCCUAGCCAUAUCUUCAAGAGUCAUAUUAUUUCUUUCAACUACUCCAUUUUGUUGAGGAGUCCUAGGGGCAUAAAAAUUAUGAUCUAUACCAUGCUCAUCACAAAAUUCGGCAAACUUAGCAUUUUUAAAUUUAGUUCUAUGAUCAGACUUGAUUGAUGCAGUUGAUUACCUAGCUGUUUCUAAGUUUUUCUAACAAAGGCAGUAAACAUGUCAAAUGCUUUAUACUUAGAUGUUAAUAACAGUACCCAGGUAAACCUAGAGUAAUCAUCAACAAGUACCAUCACAUAUUUCUUACCACCUUUGCUCAAAGUUCUCAUUGGACCACAGAGAUCCAUAUGAACCGGUUCCAUCAUCCUGGUUGUGCUUACCAUUUUCUUACUUUUAAAGGAUGAUAUUACCUGCUCCCCCUUGCACAAGCCUCACAAACUUUGUCUUCCUUGAACUUGAUGUUAGGUAACCCUAUCACCAGGUCCUUGGAGACUAAUUUGUUGAGUUGAUUCAGACCUGCAUGACUAAGUCUUUUGUGCUACAUGAGGGGAUCAUUUUCCAACACACUCAGGCAAGUGAGUUCAUUUUCUGAAAGAGUGGACAAAUCUACAAUGUAAAUAUUGUUAACUCUUUUUCCCUACAAAACAAUCUUGUCAGUGGUAAGAUUAAUCACAACGCAUUUGGUACAGGUAAAUGUUACAAAGUUACCUCUGUCACACAGUUAUGAUACACUGAUUAUGCUAUAUUUCAAGCUAUCUAUCAAGUAGACAUUCUCAAUGGAAUGUGAGUCUGUCUUACCUACCUUUCCAACCCCAAUAAUCUCACCUUUCUUCCUAUUUCCAAAGGAGACAUUACCUCCUUUUAAGUCCUCAAGUGAAAGGAAUUGGUUCUUGCUUCCAGUCAUAUGUUUUGAGCAGCCACUAUCCAUGUACCAUAUUUGGCUACUUCCCUUCACUUGGACCUGUAAAAAGAAAUUAGGGGUUAGUCUUAGGAACCUAAACUAGUUUGGGUCCCUUUCUAUAGGCAAAGGGGUGAAUUAAAUUCCUUUUAGCCUACCCAGACAACCUAUUUUUCUCUUGAAUAAAGGUUUUGUUCUUUUGACUGGCCUUUUCUUUUGCAUUACAUUCAUUUUUGUAAUGACUAGUCUUGCCACAAUGUAUGCAGAUUUUGUUUUCAGGAAGAGUGAUGUACUUACUUUUGGGGUCCCAUUUAGGUGCUUGGGUCCCAUAGCCAAGUCCUCUCUUGUUGCUAUUGUGAUGUUCUUGUAGCCAGGAUAGUGCAUCAGAAGCCUUAUUCCAUUUGCAAGUUCUGUCGAGUUCAUGCUUUACCUUCCCUAGGUCUUCUUUUAAGACUCUUAUCUGCUCAUCUUUCUUGUACAACUCAUCUUUCUUUUUUCUUAGGUUUUCUUUUAAGGUGAGAUGUGUGUGAUCAACUUUCUUCUUACUUGUUCCUAAUUUCAGUUUUAAAUUUUCAGACCUAAGUUCUAGGACACUGGUGUCGAGUUCAAGAACCUAGUUCUUCAACUCAACAUUUUUACUGUCACUCUCAUUAGCCCUAGAUUCUAGAUUUUUGCACUUGGCUUUUAAGAUCACACACUCCCUAGACAACUAUUCCUUCUCAUUGUUAAUUAUCUCAGACUCUUUGAUAAACUCUAGCAAUAGUUCAGAUAACCUUUCUUUAGAUAGAAAUUUAAUUUUGUCUUUGAGAUGAAUCACACUUACCUCUUGUUUAUCAUCUGAUUCUCCGAUGGCCAUAAGUGCUUGUUCAUCUCCAGCUUCAUCUUCUGAAUCCUCAUAUGAUGUUUCUCCCCAAGUAACAACCGUAGCCUUUGUUGAUCCUUUGUUCCUCUUGGGUUGAACCUGUUCCUUCUUCCUAUUCCUUCAUUCAGCCCUUUCCUUCUUCCAUUCAAUUUCCCACUGAGGACAAUUCUUGAUCAUGUGAUCAGUCUUUCCAUAUUUGUAGCAACCCUCGUUGGUCUGUUUCUUAGGAGCCCUUGGUUUGUUGAAGGUUUUACCUCUUGAAGAACCUUUUCCUCUCAUUGGGUACUUUUUGAAAUUCCUUGUGAUCAUGGCCAUUUCAUCAUCCUCCAGAUCUGCACCUUUAGCUAUUCUGAGAACUAAACUCCUUUCCUUCUUGGGUGCAUCCAUUUUCAUGGUUUGCCUUCUCAGUUCAUAGGCAGUGAGAUUUCUAAUCAAUUCAUCCAAUUUGAGAGUAGCAAUAUUCUUUGAUUCCUGAAUAGUAGUGAUUUUGCUUUCCAAAGUCACUGGUAAGACCCUUGUCAAGAUUUUCUCAACCUUGUCUUCUUCAAGGAUAAUUCUUCCAAGAGAUUUAAGUUCAUUUGUUAGUGUUGUAAACCUUGUGUACAUCUCCUGGAUAGUUUCUCCUUCCUUCNNNNNNNNNNNNNNNNNNNNNNNNNCCCAUAUCUCCUUAACAGUGGUACAACUUUGAAUCCUACUAUACUUGUCUGGACCCAGUCCACAUACAAGCCAUUUCUUGGCCUUGGUAUUCGUUUCCCAUUUCUUCAAGUCUUCAGCAGUGCAAUCAGCUUUUGUCUUUGACACGUCUACUCCUUUAGCAUUCUUCUUUGUAGUAGCCAAUGGACCAUCAAUGGCUAUGUCCCAAAGUUCAUAAGUUUAAAACAUAGAGUAGGUAGCAUGCUUGCAUGCAUCAAUUUAAAACUUAGAUUAUUUUAGUCUUCUCCUAUGAUGUGAUCUCUCAUCCUGUUCUUCCACCAAGAAUAGUACUGACCAUUAAAGAGUGGAGGCCUAUCAGUGGACUGCCCUUCCCAGUUUCCAGGUGGUGCACUCAUCUUGAUAUUUUCCUAAAGUGUUAACCUCUUCAAGGAUAACCCGCUCUAAUACAAAUUGAUGUUUUAUGCUUCAAUACCACACAAGAGGGGGGGGGGGGGUGAUUUGUGUGGUACCCAAUUUUUGCGUAACUUAAUUUUAGAAGGGCCUGGUUCUUCUAUGUGUUCCAACUCCUACUGUUUGCAGAAUAAUAAGUAAUGAAAAUAAAGAACACAAAGAUUUUUACGUGGAAAACACCUGGCUCAAAAGGUGAAAAAACCAUGACCUACUACUCAAUAGUAUUUUCCCAAACUUCCACUAAACUCACUGAGCCAAAAACUGCAUUUACAAAAAUUCUUUGUAAACCUAGCAUUAACUCUAAUAUUGAUGUGGUACACAACCUCAACUGUUGCGAUAACUUCAAGUUAACUCUAACUUGAAUACUCUAGGUACCUAAUACAAUUGCUUCUAUAAAAGCUAAAAGGUACAAUGUAAAAUCACCUACUACAAUUGAACUAGAAUAAAAGAUAGACACUUGGAACUAGUUCUUCUAUCUCGUUCAAGUAGCUUCAGGAUUGCACACUUGAAUCACACAUAAAUUGCUUGCAAAAUCGCCUUGCUCUUUUGCUCUCAAUUUAAGUUUAACUUCUGCUUAUAAAAGAGAACAACACUGAUAUUUAAUGGGUUAGUAAUUAGAGAUUGACUGGGAUUCAGAUACUACUCUUCUAUCAUAGAAGAGUUCUAGUUGAUCUCAUACUCUUACACUAUCUUCUUCCUAAACGUUUUCUUCAUGUAAGGAGUCUUUCUCUCCUUAUCCAAUAUGCAAACUUUUCGAUCAGAUCAGAAGAUAUUACUUCUGAUAAGUUAAAUUUAUCUCCUUCACGUGCAUCUCACAUGUUUGGGUUGAUUAUGACUGUGCUCACAAGAUGGACCUAGUCCAUAUCUGAGUUCUUUUGUCAGUCUUCAAAACUUCACAUGUACUUGGGCCAACAACUUAAUUACUAUUAAAGAGUACAACUUACUAGAUAUCUAAGGGGUAUGUAGAGUUAAGAGGAGUGUGAAUUUAUAAAGGAGUUUAAAGAUAUGUUGAAAGAGUUUUGAAAUAUAUAUGUAAGUGGUCUAUAUUUUAUAAAGCUCGUGAAAAGGGGUUGAGUUAUGAAAACACUUGAUUUAAGGAAUGGAGUUCAUGUAAUUCUAAAGGGUUCUUGUAAAAGUGAGCCUAUGAUAUACCUUGAUUUGAAGAUUUAAAGAAAGAUCAUUUUGCUGAAAAUCCUUUAAAGCGACAGUUCUUCAUUUUUGCAAAAUUCUGAUUUUCCUCUUGAUAAUAAAGCUUGCAAUAUAGUUUUGACUUCUUUUUCGAAAAUAAGGCUGCUGUUUUUACUAAGUUCUAGUCUUCAAAAAUCUUUUAAGAAAAGGGAAGGUGAGUGAGAACAUAGUAACGAUUUGAGCAAAUUAUAGUUAGCUAAAUAAGGAUUAAUUACUUAACGAAUUCUUUUCGUCAUAUGUUCAUUAGGGCUUGCCUAAGUUUUAUAUGACAUUAAAGCACAAAAUAAAACAUGUGAUCUAAUAUAUGAGUGUUAUAUAUAUGAUAACAAAGAUGCGACAAAGCAACAAGGUAGUAAAUGAAGCAAUAAACUAGAUUAACGAAACAAGAGGCAAUAAUAAAGGGAAUUGGGGGAAAGAAAACUGGGCUAUGGUAAUUGGGCCUUUAAGAAGGUAGGCCCAGCAGUAAAGAGAUGCGUCUACAACUGAUUUUUGACUCUCCUAAAAGAUGCAAUGCGGCUGGCCUAAAUGGAUGUACAUGUCCAAAAAAGAGAAAUCAUUAGAUGUAUGCUCCAUAGUUUUUAGCAUAUUUAACCAUGUAUGAAACAUAUAUAAACAAACGACUGGAGCCAAAUAUAUAAAUACAUCAGUACUUGUUACACCUCGUACUUUAAUAUUAGGAUAAGUCUAGUAAUCCAUAUGAUCUUGAAGAGAUUAAGACCAUUCAUGAGAUUAUAGAGGAUUUGUGACUAUGCUGUUAUAAGACCCCGUAAGUUUACCAACCUUGAUACCAUUAGAUAUUAUGUUAGUGUGGUAUUUUCUUUUAAGACGAGUAUUUUAGUAAAAUUUUUAUAAGUAUAAUUUUGGAUAGUUACCAUUAUUAUUAUUUUCGGAUAUGGUAAAUUAUACUCAUAAUAUAAGAAAGUUUAUGAGAUUUUCUUUAUUGUAUAGAUAGAAAUUAUUUUUGCACAAGAAAAGAAGGUUAUCUUUUUACCAUUUUAAGAAUUAAACGUACGAAAAUUUAUACUAUUUGUAUGAUAUUAGGAAAAUUAUAAGUUGAGAAAAUAUAUAUAUUUUUAUAUGGGUAUUUUAAUGAAAUAAUAGCGUAUGUAUUUAUUCUAUAUGGUACCUCAUGACCAUGAUAGUAGGGUAUAUAAAGUGUGAUAAAAGUGGAUAGUAUUUUAUGUAAUUUGAGAUAAUUCUUAAUUAUGUGGAUAAUUGGGUAAUUAAUAGCUUUUAGUGGGAGAUUAAUUAAAACUCUUUGGAUAAAGAUAAAUACCCUCACGUGGCAACUUUUGCCUUAGAAACAUUGUGACUCUUACAUUCAUUAAGCUAGGUGACAUGAAUUAAGAUAAAACUUAGAAAAGGGAUAGUAGGUGGAAGCAACUAUUUGGGACUUCUAUAGUUUAUUUAUUAUUCUUUAUAAUUGGUUAUGUUUUGUUAAUAUUUUAUCCACCGAAUUUCUCCUUACAAGGUAUUAAGGUUAACUUUUGCAUGGUUGAAUUGUUGGCCAAUUGAAAAGAUUGUUCCUUUUCAUGUAGUGAAGAUCUUUCCUUUUAUUUUUAUACACUUGCUGAAACACUAGCAUUAGGAGUUCCACUAAGUCAAUUUCUUGUAGUGAAGACGUCUACAAAGGGAUGCCAAGAAAGGCUUCAAUUUGAUUUGAUGCAAAGUGAGUAUUUAUGAAAUAAGAGCUUCCUGUUUAAAUGAAUAUGGUUGUUUGAGAAUGAUCAAGGCUAUUUGCGGUAGGAGGCGAUCAAUAUUAAAUAUGGAAUGAAGGGUUUUCGAAUCAAUGACUAUCCUUAAGGGUUUGCAGUUAGAAGGUUAAUGAACAGUUGGGAUUUACUUAUAAAGUGAAAUAAAAUUCUGUAAGGACAACAGAAAAAUCAAGUAUGUUAAAGCUAUCCCUUCUUUCUUUUGGCAUGAUCUAUACGACAUGAGCAAAACGAGCAAAUGCACAACUUUCAAAAAUGACUCUAUUCGUAGAAGUAUUAGAGGCGCAUGUGUUCUUAAAUUCUCAUGUGUUUUAUUAUUAUAUCAUCUAUUCAUGGGUCUCAAAAUGUACGUAAGUUGGUAAAGUUUAUUUCAUGAUAUUACUUAGAGGCAUAAUGGCCUUAUGAUGUACCGAUAGAUUUUAUUAACGUAUUUCAUAUGCAUUUCAUGCAUUUAUACAUGCACAUUGACACAUGACCAAAUAGCAUUAUAUACGCAUAUAUAUAUAUAUAUAUAUAUAUAUGUAUAUGAGAUAUGGGAAAAGUUAUUGCGUUAUAUACGCGCCACCACUUGAUCGGUUGGUAUACAUUGAUGAUUUGUCAACAGUGGCCGAGAUGAUAUGAUGGGAUGCCCUUAGAGGCAUGAUGAUGUUAUGGCAUUAUAUACGCGUAUAUAUAUGGGAUAUGGGAAAUGUUAUGGCGUUAUAUAUGCACCAUCACUUGAUCAGCUGGUAUACGUUGAUGAUUUGCCCACAGUGGCCGAGAUGAUAUGAUGGGAUGCCCUUAGAGGCUUGAUUAUGUUAUGAACACAUGUACCUAUGCACGACAUGACAUUCAUACGCAUAUACAUGACAUUAUAAAUAUUUUAUGAUUUACAGAGCUAUUCAGACUUACAGGUUGAGUCCUUUACUCCAUGUUUCUUCCAUGUUCUUUAUAUACUGAUUUACAUGCCUUACAUACCAGCACAUUAUUUGUACUGACGUCCUUUUGCUGGGGAUGCUGCAUUUAUGCAUGCAGGUAUAGACAAUUGGUUUGACGAGCCCUCAUAGUAGAUGAGGUCAACAUUCAGCAAAGGAUCGGUAAAACUCCACCUCAUUCGGAGUGCAGCCGAGUCUAUGAGUCAUCGUGAUAGUGUUUUGCUACAGACUUAUAGGUAGGCCGAUAUCCUGUCCAAUUUGAAGUCAAAUAACCUUAGAGGCUUUGUAGACAGAGGUUCAUUUUAGAUAGUGUGUGAUGGGUCACCACUUGUUUUAAAAAUAAAUUCUGUGUUCCGAGGCCGUAAAAACCUCUUUCAGCAUCACCUUGAUUUGCGUGCAUAGUCCGGGCGCGUAGCCGGAAAGCCAUUAUGUGGAAAUCUGUGAAAAAUAAUAAAUUUUUACUUUAAAAUGAAUUUAAGUUGACUUCGGUCAAUAUUUUGGGUAAAUGGACUCGGACCCGUGAUUUGAUGAUCUCGGAGGGUCCGUAAUAAAAUAUGGGACUUGGACGUAUGCCCGGAAUCGAAUUACGAGGUCCCAAGCCCGAAAAAUGAAUUUUUAAAAAAAAAUUAUUUUCUAGAAUAUUUAUGAGUUUUUAGAAAUGAAAUGUGUUUAAAACUUGAUGGUAUCGGGCCUGUAUUUUGGUUCUGGAGCCCGAUACAGGUCUUAUAUGUGAUUUAAGAUGAGUCCGUGAAAUUUGGUAAGAAACGGAAGUCGUUUGAGGUGAUUCGGACCCGUAGUUGUGAAGAUUGAUACUUUGAAAGUUUUGAGAUUUUUCUUAGAUUUCUAUGCUAAAUUCGUUAUUUAAGAGGUUAUUUUGGUGAUUUGAUCGUACGGAUAAGUUCAUAUGAAGUUUUUGAGUUAGUAUGCAUGUUUGGUUUGGAGCCCCGAGGGCUCGGGUGAGUUUCGGAUGGGUUUAAGAAGGUUUUGAACUUAGGAAAAAUUGCAGGUUUUUUCUAUCUCAGGUGCACAGAUGGUUUGUUCUUCUCGUUCGUGUGGUUCCACGCGAACGUGUAAGGCAAUUUCCUCAGGUGCCUGUUUGUUCUUCGCGAACGCGGAGCUUGGGAUGCAAACGCGAGGCUGUGGGGGGAGUACCCUUCGUGAACGCGUCCAGGCACUCACGGACGCAUAAGGUUAAAGGCUUGGGGGGGGGGGGGUUCACAUUUGUUCUACGCGAACGCCACCAUCUAACCGCGAACUCGAAGGCUCUAGGAGCUGAAGCUCCGAAAACGCGAGCCGUCAAACACGAAUGCGAUGAUCAGCUGGGCCUGACCCAUCGCGAACGUGACGCGGCAGGCCUGUCGCGCUAUCGCGAACGCGAUGAAGACAUGCCUAGUCAUUUUUAAACAGUAACAGAACAAACGGGAUUUAACCCAAAUUUCAUAACUUCUUCUUCCAAACUCCAAAUUGGGCGAUUUUUGAAAGAGAACUUCACCACAAAUCCAUAGGUAUGUAAUCUUAGAUUCAUUUUCUUCAAUUUCCCUUAAUACCCAUUAGAUUUCUAGGCCUAAAUCAUGUUCUUAAGGGUAGAAAAUUAGGGAUUUGGGUAGAGUUAGGGCUUUUUGUAUAAUUGGGAUUUAAACCUCAUUUUGGGGUCAGAUUUUGGAACUAAUUACAUUUUCGAGCUCGUGGUUGAAUGGGUGAUCGGCUUUUGGUCCAAACCUCGUGUUUUGACCAAGCGGGCUCGGGGUUGAUUUUUGACUUUUUGGGAAGAAUGAUAGGAAAUCUAUAAUUAAGCAUUGAGAUUGGAUUGUUUAGCAUUUAUUGAUGUUAUCAAGUCGAUUAUGUCUAGAUACAAUUGAGUUGGAGCCAAAUUCAAAAGGAAAAGAGGUGUUUGAUGCUUGAGUUGGCAAUGGAAGUUCGAGGUAAGUGUUUGGUCUAACCUUAGCUUGAGGGAUUAGGAGUCGUGUCUUAUUUGCUACGUGGUAACUGUGGAGUACGACGUAUAGGCAUGGUGAUGAGUAUCUAUACGUAGGUUUCAAGCAUGCCCGUGAGUGUUGUAUUGUAAUUGUUAUGACACGUUGUGGUUUAUUGCACUUCAUAUGAGGAUUAUCAUUAUUGUUCCCUUGCCAUGAUGUUAUUAUCAUUAUUGUUCCCUUGCCGAGAUGUUAUUGUCAUAUUAUUGUUCCCUUGCCGGGAUGUUGUUGUAAUAUUAUUGUUCCCUUGCCGGGAUGUUGUUAUAUUGCUAUUGUUCCCUUGCCGGAAUUCCUUUAUGAUUGGUGUUGAUAAAUAAAAUGGGAGCGGGUUGCAAGCCUGCAACGGUAAUAUAUGAAAUGGGAGCGGGCUGCAUGCCUGCAACGGUAGUAUAUGAAAUGGGAGCGGGUUGCACGCCUGCAACGGUAUUACAUGUGCACCUGUUCUUCUAUUUCCUUUAUCUUUGCUGGAAAUUGAUUUAUGGCAUUCCUUAUAUUUCUUUACUGUCGUUAUGUUGUUACCUGUUACUCCCCGCAACAUGUUUCCCCCGCUCAACUUUAGCUGUAAUCAUCUACUUUUAUUUCCGCUGUAUAUGAUUUAACUGCACAGGUUUAUUUGGUAGUCUGGUCCUAGCCUCAUCACUACUUCGCCGAGGUUAGGCUAGGCACUUACCAGCACAUGGGGUCGGUUAUGCUGAUACUGCACUCUGCACUGUGUGUAGAUAUUGAUACCAGAGCGUUUGGACCGUAGUGAGGGUGCUAUCUUCAGUACACGCAGGCGACCCGAGGUAGUCCUGCAUUCGUCCGUGGGCCUUGGCAUCUCCUUCUAUCUUUUCUCUUACUGUUUUUACUUAUCAGAGAUAGACUUAUGUAUUUCAUUCAGACCUUGUUUGUAGUAUUCUUAGACCGUCUGUGAACCUGUGACUCUAGUUCUAGGUAGUCUUGUUUAAAUAGUUGUAUUGGAUAUACUCAGUAGUUUUAUUGUUUUUCUU
rnacentral:lncRNA from 1 species